GUAUUUUACAGAAGAUGAAAGGGUGUUCACCCAUGAACUUUUAAACGAGACACCUAACGAGAAUCGCAUAAAAAUUAUUAUGGCAUCAACUUAUGAAAGUCGCAGUCUCUGGGUGAGGGAAGGAAGACCUCCAAUAAAAACAUUUUUUUCAUCAUUUCCCCCAUUAAGAAAUAUUUACUCAUCUGCGUUUGAAGAGGAAUUCUGCAGAAGUGCACCCAACAGCAAACGGUUAGUGGAUGGGCUGGGAGUUUUUCACGGAUCCUUUUGUAUGCCAAAGGAAAACGCAAAGGGUUGUCAACCGAUCUUACAAUAUUACUUGACGAAAUAGCAGCUAACAACAACCUACUUGAAGAUACCAAAGAAGAAUACGCUCUAUUACUACUUCCACUUAUGUUAACGGUUCCUAUGCGAAAUCGGCAACGUGCCUCAGUUGCUGAAGUUUGCAAGCGAUUUAUCCAGCUUCAUCCUUAUGGAACUUCAAUGGAAAAAAUUCUUUCUAAAAUCAAAAGUGACAGUAUUAAACAACCAAUAAUUAUUGCAUUGGGUGUAACUGGCAACAUUAGCCAAUCCUUUAUUGUUGUAGAAAACGAAGUUAUUGAAUCGCGUUGUAUGGUAUCUGCUGUUGAUAAGUGUUUCAAGCUACACUACAUCGGUCAAAUUGAGUACGACCAAAGUGUUAGCCAUGUUUGGCAGUUUUUGCAAGUGCAUUUUUAUGAGAUCUUAGAUAAUGUUUCUAUCUCAGAAUGUGUACGAGAUCUUGUUACUUUUUUAAAAGCACGUUAAAUAUAUUUGACACUCUUUUAAAUAAGCAACAUCUGCACACAUUGUGAUUUAGAAAAUUU
rnacentral:lncRNA from 1 species